rnacentral:lncRNA from 1 species
CCUGGGUUCAGAUUCUCACUCUGGCGUUCUUGGACCACUGCAAUUGUCUCACAGCUCUUUUCUUGUCUCACUUUUCUUCCCAUGAAAAAUCUACAUAGUUUCACAUAGCCAUUCAGGGAUGCAGGCUGCUUCCACGUUGUGGCACUGCUUUCCCCUCAGCCUGUGGAGUCCUCUUCAUUCAGCCAGGAGAUGGAGAAAGAUUUUUACAUAGGGGAGAUCUUGUCAAGAUGGCAGUGUGAGCAGACGUUGAACUUGCCUCCUGCCAUGAACACAACCAAAUUACAACAAUUUUUGAAAAAAUUACCACGGAUUGAAAACUGAAAACUGGAUAAAAAGAACCCUCACAACAAGGGACAGUCCUGAUGAAGUCAGAAGAGGCAGCAAUUCCUGCUGGAGAGGAAAAAAGCCACCUUUGGGGGCAGUGGAGCUUCUCAGCGGGCCAGGCGAGAGCCGCCCUAAGGUAUGCAGCCCUCCCUGGAGGAGUGAGGUCUGGAGCGAGGCGAUACUGCUAUAAGCAUCCUUCAGACUCGGCCCACCUGAGAUGGGUGUCUCACUGGCUUUGCUGGCUAUUAACUGCAGCGAGGAUACCCCCAGAAAAGCUGUUGGCCGAAGCCGUAAAGAUCCGGGUCUUAAAGGGCCCACGCACAAACUCACUCACUGCAGCAACCUAAAAUCACCAGACAGAAGGCUGACAGUCUUUUGGUGAAAUGAGACUCACCUGGUGGGCUCUGGGGGCAUCUUGGUGAGAGGAGGGACCUCUCCGGAGACUGAGACAUUGUUGGGGCCCGUUGUUCUGAGCUGAUCGAGGCGUGCUGAUGUAGAUUAGAUCCCUGUGGGUGCCAUUGAGGUUCAUCCCUUGGCCUGUUAGCCCAGGGUUCUGCCAUGUCCACUAGAGCACAGACUUAAUCCAGUUCAGCCAGGGCAGGCAACCCGCCCAAGGGACUGGCCCCACCUAACAGAAAGCCCUCAGGCUCCUUUUCAGCCUGCAUUGACUGGGUGCCUUGAUCCUCUACAGGCAGGCAAGGGUGUCUGCCUCUGUGGGGCAGGGCCUGUGCGAGGACCAGGUGAACUGCGGGGGGCAUUGGUGGAGAGGUGGGGACCCCUGCAGUGCGGCAUCGGGGUACACUUCAGAG